rnacentral:tRNA from 1 species
AUUUUACAUGUCAAUACCGACAACAAUGAAAUUUAUAGUAAGAGGAAAAU